rnacentral:rRNA from 1 species
AUGGGACAUCGCCGAUUUCUGCACCCAAACCAUGAGUUCCGCCAUGAAUCUGACUUGUUUGAUGGAUUGGAGGAACACAAAACAGAACCAACUCUUUAUUAUAAAGUUGGAGUUUUAGAUAAGAUAAAAUCAAUUAAGAACUUCAAUGAUUCCAAAACUUGGAAGUUUGUUAACGGGUUUUUCUCUCAUUUGACUUAUUGGGACUACAGUUUGCUCCGCCACAAUCUAGAUAUUAUGCACAUUGAAAAGAAUGUAUGUGAAAAUAUAUAUGGGACAUUUCUAGGAAUAGAGGGCAAGUCAAAGGAUAAUUUAAAGGCAUGA